GAUGAACGCUGGCGGCGUGCCUAAUACAUGCAAGUCGAGCGACCGGACGAGAAGCUUGCUUCUCUGCUGUUAGCGGCGGACGGGUGAGUAACGCGUGGAUCACCUACCUAUAAGACUGGGAUAACUUCGGGAAACCGGAGCUAAUACCGGCUGAUAUUUUGAACCGCAUGGUUCAAAAGUGAUAGACGGUCUUGCUGUCUCUUAUAGCUGGAUCCGCGCUGCAUUAGGUACUUGGUAAGGUAACGGCUUACCAAGGGAACGUUGCAUAGCCGACCUGAGGGAGGAAUAGCCACACUGGAACUGAGACACGGUCCAGACUCCUACGGGAGGCAGCAGUAGGGAAUCUUCCGCAAUGGGCGAAAGCCUGACGGAGCAACGCCGCGUGAGUGAUGAAGGUCUUCGGAUCGUAAAGCUCUGUUAUUAGGAAAGAACAGAAGUGUAAUAAAAUCUGCACAUCUUGACGGUACCUAAACAAAAAGCCACGGCUAACUACGUG
rnacentral:rRNA from 1 species